UACGUAGGGGGCAAGCGUUAUCCGGAUUUACUGGGUGUAAAGGGAGCGUAGACGGUCGGAUAAGUCAGAUGUGAAAGCUCGGGGCUCAACCCCGGGACUGCAUUUGAAACUAUCGGACUGGAGUGCAGGAGAGGUAAGUGGAAUUCCUAGUGUAGCGGUGAAAUGCGUAGAUAUUAGGAGGAACACCAGUGGCGAAGGCGGCUUACUGGACUGUAACUGACGUUGAGGCUCGAAAGCGUGGGGAGCAAACAGGG
rnacentral:rRNA from 1 species